UCAGAAGGCUGAAUUCUCUACAGCUCUUCCUGGAGUCUCACAGAAGUGAUAAUGCAGCCAAGAAGAGCCAUGUGAGGAAGCCAAAAGGCAGAACAAGGAAAGCUCGUAGCCCCGAAGGGAGCCUUUCUAAGGUCUCAACAAAAGCAGCUUAAAUAUGGAAGAGUUCAUUUAGCUCACAGUUCCAGUGUGGAGAAACCUUGCUAAUAGUCUACCAUUGUCUGGCCAUCCAAAACCCUGUUCGUCGACUCUGUUCCCUUCAUCCUCAUGGGCCAGUGGCCAACAACCCCAUGAGACAGAGACCCCAUAAGAAGGGAAACAGACCCACAUGCUCCACCAUGUUCGU